GUCGAACGGUGUCUUCGGACAUAGUGGCGCACGGGUGCGUAACACGUAUGCAACCUACCUUACAUUGGGGGAUAGCCUUUCGAAAGGGAGAUUAAUACCGCAUAAGACAGUAGCUGGGCAUCCAGCAGCUGUUAAAGAUUUAUCGAUGUAAGAUGGGCAUGCGUCCAAUUAGUUAGUUGGCGAGGUAACGGCUCACCAAGACUUUGAUUGGUAGGGGAACUGAGAGGUCAAUCCCCCACACUGGCACUGAGAUACGGGCCAGACUCCUACGGGAGGCAGCAGUAGGGAAUAUUGGGCAAUGGACGCAAGUCUGACCCAGCCAUGCCGCGUGCAGGAUGAAGGCGUUAUGCGUUGUAAACUGCUUUUAUACAGGAAGAAACGACUCUUGCGAGAGGCAUUGACGGUACUGUAUGAAUAAGCACCGGCUAACUCCGUGCCAGCAGCCGCGGUAAUACGGAGGGCGCAAGCGUUGUCCGGAUUUAUUGGGUUUAAAGGGUGCGCAGGUGGUUUAUUAAGUCAGUGGUGAAAGACGGUCGCUCAACGAUUGCAGUGCCAUUGAAACUGGUAGACUUGAGUAAAGUAGAGGUGGGCGGAAUUGAUAGUGUAGCGGUGAAAUGCAUAGAUAUUAUCAAGAACUCCAAUUGCGUAGGCAGCUCACUUGGCUUUUACUGACACUCAUGCACGAAAGUGUGGGUAUCAAACAGGAUUAGAUACCCUGGUAGUCCACACUGUAAACGAUGAUAACUAGGU
rnacentral:rRNA from 1 species